UGUAGAGAAUAUAAUAGUGUAAAAUCAGAAAGAGAGAGAGAGGCGGAGGGUGAAUUGAUAUUGAUGUUCCGAACUUUUCCAGUAGAAUUUUCGGGCGAAUCCCUCCAGCUAGCCAUGAUUCUUAGUUACCGAUUCCCGAACAGUCCUGGUUCAGCUGAAAAUUUCCCUGUUAAAUUAGCAUGAUCAUGAGAAAACAAUUAUCAACACCGUCAGAUGAAGCUAAAUAAAGCAAGGAAACAGUGUAAGAAAGUCCAAUUUGCUCGUGUUUGGUGGUUAAAAGAAUUGGAGGUGAGUGUAGAGUGUUUAGACACUGCAAGAGAUUCCUCCUCCCUUAUCCUUGGCCCUGGGAAUUGUGCUCCGGACAAAAAGCUUCACUAGCCGGCUGCUUUUCCAGUUAAGGCAAUUCACAAGGUUCCUUGGUCAAUUCCCCCUCCAGUUGCUGAGGCAGAAGGAAAAUACACUCCUUUGGAGGAGCAUGGCCUUUUCCUAUAUUGCUUCCCACUGUGGCCACUGAGCUUCUUGAAUCCUGGCCCCUGGACACCAUCAUCAAGAAGACCUUAUGGAUGGGCCACCUACCUCCUGAGAGAAGAGGACCAUCAACUUCAGUUUCUAAUUAGAUUGCUUUCUUCAUGUCAAGUAAUGGCUGCCAUCAGGGUCAGAUUAAAGACAGAGCAGCUGGACAACGGCUUGGAGGACUAACCUACAAGGGCACUAAAGUGUCCAUAGUGUGCUAACACAUCCAUGGAAAUAUAAGGAGAGGAAAAUAAUACCAGCAUUUCU